GCUGGGAUGUGAUGGGGAGCGAAAUUUAGUAGCGAAGUAGCUGAUUUCACACUGUCAAGAAAAGUCUCUAUCGAGGUUAAAGGUACCCGUACCGCAAACCGACACAGGUGGGUGAGGAGAGUAUCCUAAGGCCAGCGAGAGAACUGUUGUUAAGGAACUCGGCAAAAUGACCCCGUAACUUAGGGAUAAGGGGUGCCACCAUCCGGUGGCCGCAGAGAAUAGGCCCAAGCGACUGUUUACCAAAAACAUAGGUUUCUGCUAAGUCGCAAGACGAUGUAUAGGAGCUGACGCCUGCCCGGUGCUGGAAGGUUAAGGGGAUCUGUUAGAGCAAUCGAAGCAGUGAACUUAAGCCCCAGUAAACGGCGGCCGUAACUAUAACGGUCCUAAGGUAGCGAAAUUCCUUGUCGGGUAAGUUCCGACCCGCACGAAAGGCGUAACGAUUUGGGCACUGUCUCAACAACAGACUCGGUGAAAUUGUAAUUCCGGUGAAGAUGCCGGAUACCUGCGACAGGACGGAAAGACCCCAUGGAGCUUUACUGUAGCUUGACAUUGGGUCUUGGUACUACAUGUACAGGAUAGGUGGGAGGCUUUGAAACCAGGACGCCAGUUUUGGCGGAGCCAUCCUUGGGAUACCACCCUUGUAGUACUGGGACUCUAACCAUAGGCCAUGAAUCUGGUCUUGGGACACUGUCAGGUGGGCAGUUUGACUGGGGCGGUCGCCUCCCAAAAGGUAACGGAGGCGCUCAAAGGUUCUCUCAGUACGGUCGGAAAUCGUACGUAGAGUGUAAAGGCAAAAGAGAGCUUGAUUGCAAGACAUACAGGUCGAGCAAGGAUGAAAAUCGGACUUAGUGAUCCGGUGGUUCUGCGUGGAAGGGCCAUCGCUCAACGGAUAAAAGCUACCCUGGGGAUAACAGGCUUAUCUCCCCCAAGAGUCCACAUCGACGGGGAGGUUUGGCACCUCGAUGUCGGCUCAUCACAUCCUGGGGCUGUAGUAGGUCCCAAGGGUUGGGCUGUUCGCCCAUUAAAGUGGUACGCGAGCUGGGUUCAGAACGUCGUGAGACAGUUCGGUCCCUAUCCGUCGCAGGCGUAGGAAAUUUGAGAAGACCUGUCCUUAGUACGAGAGGACCGGGAUGGACGUACCUCUGGUGU
rnacentral:rRNA from 1 species